UACGAAGGGGGCUAGCGUUGUUCGGAAUUACUGGGCGUAAAGCGCGCGCAGGCGGUCUUCCAAGUCAGUGGUGAAAGCCCGGAGCUCAACUCCGGAACUGCCAUUGAAACUGUUGGACUUGAGUACGAGAGAGGUGAGUGGAAUUCCCAGUGUAGAGGUGAAAUUCGUAGAUAUUCGCAAGAACACCAGUGGCGAAGGCGGCUCACUGGCCCGGUACUGACGCUGAGGCACGAAAGCGUGGGGAGCAAACAG
rnacentral:rRNA from 1 species